rnacentral:antisense_RNA from 1 species
AGGGUACUAUUUUAAGGAGUAUUUUUUAUUUGGCACAUAAAGAGAUAUUUUUGUCGCAAAAUAGAAAAUUUAUAAGUUUUUAAAUUAAUGAUUUAUUGGGAUAAAAUGAAGUUUUGGUACAACCGAGUGGAUUCGAACCACCGACCCCUACCA